GACGAACCGUGCGAACGUUGUUCGGAAUCACUGGGCUUAAAGGGUGCGUAGGCGGGUUGUCCAGUCUGGGGUGAAAUCCCACGGCUCAACCGUGGAAUUGCCUCAGAUACUGACGACCUCGAGGGAGGUAGGGGCGAGCGGAACUGUGGGUGGAGCGGUGAAAUGCGUUGAUAUCCACAGGAACUCCGGUGGCGAAGGCGGCUCGCCGGACCGCUUCUGACGCUGAGGCACGAAAGCUAGGGGCGCAAACGGG
rnacentral:rRNA from 1 species